AGGUCCGGCAUAAUCUCGGGAAACUGAGGAUAAUUCCGGAUAGCUCUUUUUGGCUGGAAUUGCAUUAAGAGUCAAAGUUCUUCGCCUAAGGAUGGGUCUGCGGCCUAUCAGGUAGUAGAGGGUGUAACGCACCUUCCAGCCGACAACGGGUACGGGUUGUGAGAGCAAGAGCCCGGAGAUGGAUUCUGAGACAUGAAUCCAGGCCCUACGGGGCGCAGCAGGCGCGAAAACUUUACAAUGCAGGAAACUGUGAUAAGGAAACACCGAGUGCCCGCAUCUAAUGCGGGCUGUCCAUAUACUCAAAAAGUAUGUGUUAGCAAGGGCCGGGCAAUACCGGUGCCAGCCGCCGCGGUAAUACCGGUGGCCCGAGUGGUAGCCGCUUUUAUUUGGUCUAAAGGGUCCGUAGCCGGUCCGGUCAGUCCAUUGGUAAAUCCGCGCGCCCAACGCGCGGUCUUCAGUGGAUACUUCCGGACUUGGGACCGGGAGAGGUAAGAGGUACUAUGGGGGUAGGAGUGAAAUCUUGUAAUCCUUAUGGGACCACCUGUGGCGAAGGCGUCUUACCAGAACGGGUCCGACGGUGAGGGACGAAAGCUGGGGGCACGAACCGGAUUAGAUACCCGGGUAGUCCCAGCCGUAAACUAUGCCCGCUGGGUGUCAGGCAUGGCGUGACUGUGUCUGGUGCCGUAGAGAAGUCGUGAAACGUACCACCUGGGAAGUAUGGUCGCAAGGCUGAAACUUAAAGGAAUUGGCGGGGGAGCACCACAACAGGUGGGGCCUGCGG
rnacentral:rRNA from 1 species